rnacentral:lncRNA from 1 species
GGGGGGGGGUCCCUGCUGCCCUGCCGGGCCGCCCCGGGCGGGAGCAGCCCCCCAGGCCUGCAUUAACCUCCGCCCGUCUCCGGCUGCUCUGUCAAGUCCCCCAGAGGACCUCUCCCACAGGCCCCAAGAGCAUGCAGAACCCGGCCCGCGUGAGCAACGUCCCCAGCAACAUCAUCCGGAAAAACUCCCCCGCGGCCCGCAACGGGGGCACCGAAGCCGACGCGCAGAUCCUGGAGCUCAACCAGCAGCAAAUUGCGGGACAUCGAGCUGAUCUGCCAGGAGCACGAGAACGAGAACAGCCCCAUCAUCACGGGCAUCAUCAGCGUCCUCUACGCCACAGAGGAGGGCUUCGCCCCGCCCGAGGACGACGAGAUCGAGGAGCAGCAGCCAGAGGACCAGGACGAGUACUAGCCCCGGCACGCUCCUCCGCCCCGCGACGAGCCGCCCCGCGUCGUCCCCCGACCAUAGACAUUCGAGGUUUUGAGUUUGUACGCCUCGCCCUGCACUAUCACACAUUAUAACAGUGUCCAACCAGCCAGGCAGCCGGGCCAGUGGUCUCCGUGGUCAGCAGAUCCCGUGGGAAGCCACUGGCUGCAUAAUAAAUAUAUAUAAAUACAUAGAGGAGAACA